rnacentral:rRNA from 1 species
AGGGCAGAUGCCGGGCAGCUACGCACCACGGGGUAAGAGCUGAACGCAUCUAAGCUCGAAACCCACACGGAAAAGAAGUUCCACUGAGGACACUCGUAGAAGACGAGUUCGAUAGACUCGGGGGGUACGCAACGAGGCAACGAGUUGUUAAGCCCGCGAGCACUAACAG